ensembl:lncRNA
UAAAUGAAAGAAAUCAUGGAUGAACAGCUUCUGAACAGCCGUACAGAGAACAGUUCCCUCCACUGAAAAUUAUUUUUUAAAUGCCGUGACACAAUGAGCCUGUCAAAUUUAGACAGAUUUUAAAUUUGUUCCAGAGUUUUGUUUGAAAAGGUUAAUGGACAGUAAACAGCCUGUGUCUAUGAGACAUCUGUGGCUAGCAGAUUAGCAGACUCUCUAACGGUAGAAGUCUGGCCUGUCGUUGCUGACAACAGUUCGAGAACAGUUUUUAUUCUGGAAAGGGAUAAGUUUGUGUUUGGUUGUAAAACUCAAAUUCUUUGAAUAGUUAGAAUUUGAAAUGCAUAGUCUAUAUUCUUAGAACUUAAAAGCCUUCAUAUGAUGAAAUGUUGGUUAAAAUGGAGAUUGGAAACAAUUGGAAAUAAACAGAAGGUCUUAGAAUUUUGAAUUGUUUAAAACAAAUAUUCUGCACUAUUUCUAUGCCCCUAUUUAAAUAUAACUAAAUGUGUGAUAUUUACCAUGUUUAUUGUUUUGUGCAAAAGCUCAGAUUUUCCUCAUGUCUACUGAAACAUGUGUUCAGAUGACACUCGGAUGGAUUUGAUCUAAAAUGGAUCAGCAGGUGUUGCACAAACUUGUGGAGUCCAUGCCAACUCGAAUGCAAAUUGUCAUUAAAGCAAAAAUGGGAACUACCAAAGACUAAGAAGUAUAGUUUAUAAUGAAAAUUGUUGUGUUAAAUUAGAAAAGAACGCAAAAUAGAAUGAUCUUUAUUAGUGCUCUCAGACUUUUAGGCCCCACUGUAGUUCUGAUUGCAUUGGUAUCUUGAGUACAAACUAAAUUGAUUUGGCUGAUGCCUAUUUUGAUACGGCACAUAGCUAUUCAGAAACUUCACACUUGGCUAGCAAGAUUUUAGACAUCUUAAAGCAGACUGAAUGUUUUACCAUGGUGUUUGUUAAACUAGUUCUUUACAUGGUGUCAUUUCUUGCAGUGUUCAGACCUGUUCCACAAUCUGAAAAGAUCCAGGAAUACAUGCUACAAAUUGCCAGUGGCAUCAGGAUCUGUAGUGAAUCAAUAACAGAAAUUCAGCAUGUGCUACAGUUACAGUUCCACCAAAGAAUAUUGAAGGAAAUAGGAGCAAAGUAAACAUUUUGUUUUGGGAAAUUCAGUAGAGAGCAUUAUUACUUUUUCUAGGACAGCAGUAUCAGCAGCUCAGUAAAACUAUAUACCAGAAGCCUACAAAAAAAUUAUGUAUAUGUAGUCUUAGGUGCUUAAUUGCGAUUUGUUCAUGGCUGACAUUCAUUCAAGCACGAUAUUAAAAAUAACAGUUUAAUACUCUCUCCAUCACCUGCAUGUAGAUACUCAAUAACAUAUUAAGUAUUAUUUGUAAUAUUACAAUGCAAGAUUUUUCACUGUGUGCUUCAUCAAAACCUACUCAGGUGUCCAGAUGUGUUACACUACAUGUAUGACAUUACACUGCACCAUGUAGUGACUAUAAAUGAACAAUGACAUGUAUUUAAUCAUUGUCCAUUUGCCCUUUUUUGAUGUUAUGGAAAGCAGAAGGCAGGAUGUGAGGCAGAACUGGCAGUCUUUCUCCUGCAUUUCUAUUGUGCUUCUGUGUCGGGGUGUGAAUGGUGAGCUGGAUGUACCGACUCUAUUCAAAAAUCGUUCCACUGCCUAAAGGAGACUGGAAACAGAUAAUCCACCUUUCACAGGUACCAAGACCAAACAGAGAAAAUGACCGCAGGUGUGGAAUUAGUUUGCAUAAUGCAGGGUGCAAAUGGACGAUGUCUGCUGGAGUACAGGAGUGAUAGCGUUGUCAUCUGGGGUGAUGUUAUUCUCCUUCAGGCAAUGCGACAGCAGCCAGUGCUUGGUGUGUUGAUGGCUUUCCAAUCAGAUACAGGUUACAAAGAUCAAGGUGCUAAGUUGAGGCAUUUUCAUUCCCCUGGGACUUAUCACCAUAGAAACAACCUUCACUUUAAGAAAAGAUGAAUGAGCCAGAUGAAAGCAAGAUGGUCAGUACGUUUCAUAAGAAUGGAUAAUGGUUCUAAUUAAAAAGCAAAGCAAAUUUGACUAAACAGAUGCUGUGCCAAUGAUGCUUCCAUAUGUCCAGGGCCAUAAUUGAUCUGUCCUUUCAAUGUUAAAUUAGAAUUUUGCAUGAGAGACCUAUGCAACCCUAUGUCUAAAUCACUACAUUUUCAACCAUUAAAGUAUUAAUCUGAGUUAAUCAGAAUUUAUAAAUGACUUUUAUAAAUGUGUCAUGUCUUACAACUUAUCUGUAAGAAGGAUUAAUUUAUUAUACCAUUCACUUGAAGCAAGUAAUGAUGGAAUU